rnacentral:rRNA from 1 species
CCUACGGGAGGCAGCAGUAGGGAAUCUUCCGCAAUGGGCGAAAGCCUGACGGAGCAACGCCGCGUGAGUGAUGAAGGUUUUCGGAUCGUAAAGCUCUGUUGUUAGGGAAGAACAAGUGCCGUUCAAAUAGGGCGGCACCUUGACGGUACCUAACCAGAAAGUCACGGCUAACUACGUGCCAGCAGCCGCGGUAAU